UUUUAUGAGAGUUUGAUCCUGGCUCAGGACGAACGCUGGCGGCGUGCCUAAUACAUGCAAGUCGAACGCUUCUUUUUCCACCGGAGCUUGCUCCACCGGAAAAAGAGGAGUGGCGAACGGGUGAGUAACACGUGGGUAACCUGCCCAUCAGAAGGGGAU
rnacentral:rRNA from 1 species